CCCAUCGAAACUGUUCGAAUUGGGCCCCGCACUUGCUAAAGCCGGCCCUGGCUGAGAGUAUGCAUACAUUCCAUGAAAUAUGGCAGAAAUCAGAAAUAACUUAAUUGAAGGCGGUGGUGUUACUGAGAUUCAAUCCCUGGACUGUGAAUGGGAGCCAAACAAGCAAUUUUGUUUAGGAAAACCCCUCAUGAUAUGGAAUACAAUUUGAUUGUGCUUCUAAAAAUAAUUUCCAAAUCAUUUCAGAGGGUGUCUCCGCAAAGCUGGCCCUGCAUUAGAUCUGGUUCUUUUCCUGUGAAGAAGAGUUGCAACAUUUUCACUCCAAAUGUCUAUCUGCCUCUAGGGAAACUGAGGAAGAAAUUCUCUAUGAAAGUGCAAAUUGGUGAGAGAAAAACCUGCACUUUUAUGUGAUUAUGAUAUAUUGUGUGCCAAGUAUGCCUUGUGAAAUAUCAUUUGAAAACUCAUAACCUACUGCACAUUAUUAUCCUGGGAAAAGAUGUUUGGUAACUUUAUAUGUAAAGUUAUGACACUCUACUGUAUAAAAAUUAUUUACUGUAACAUGUUACAAAGUUAGAAAAGCUGGUUCAAACUAGUUUUUUCAGAGACAAAAGAACAACGGCAUAACAGCUAGGUGCUAAGAGGCCAUUACUUGCUUAAUCAGAAAUUCACCGACAGGGGAGUGGUAAGCAUGAAAUUUGCAGUUCACCUGAAGGACAAUUGGCAGCUUACAUGAGCCAUGAGACUGCCUGACCUCAUGACCCAACAAAGACUGUUCCAGUACAAAGGGCCAGAGUAUAAAAAGGAGAGACAAUAACCCCCUCAUCACCUAUCCUCUCCUAUCUCUACUCAUUAAACCGGAGGGAGUGGUCCUAGUUUGAAGGCUUUGCAGUUAAUAUGGACUACUGAAAGUUUUUUUGGGUGAGAGAAACUUUUUAGCUUUCAAAUCUUAUUUAGCUUAGUAGAUUGAGGAAUUUGAUUGCAGUUUUAUCUGUUUAUUUCUUUUGUGCCUAGUUCUGACUUGUAUG